rnacentral:lncRNA from 1 species
UCCUAUUGGCUGGGAAAACAUUCGCUCAUAACGGCUAUUUAAAAUCAACAAAUAUGCAGUUCUCUAGCAAGAUGCACGUACGCCGAUUUGGGACCGCUUUGAAAUUGAAUUUUACCUCUUUUCCUGGAGCGGGAAUUUGGUUGCUAAAAUUGCGUUGAUAAAAGCCAGCGCGAGGGCGCAAUAUCACUUUAGUAUACAGUGACAGAGAAUUAACGUACGGAAAAUGCGGGCAUGCAGCAGAUUGAUUUCUGUAGUCUUCCAGAGCCUUGUCUUCGUGGUCCUCGCUGUCUGUGGUAUAGGUAAGUUUCAACGGCGAAAUUUUCCUACCAUAUUAUCAAUUUGAUCAGAAUAACAAAGCGCGCGGUUACAACCGUAUCUCACCGUUUCCCAGAAAUUGAACAAAUGUACGUAUCUUAUUCGCCAGCCCUUGUUUAUGGUCUGAAUAAUGGGAUAGGAGGUUUAACACAGCUGCGCACGGGCCUCUUCUCAUUGUCAUAGUUGUGGUGUUUAUACUUCUCCACACACAAGGUUCAAAUUAAUAUCCCGCGCUUUGACAGUUCGUAAGCUGACUCUAGUCGUAUGCCGCAGGAAGUCUCUAUUUACUUUUCCCGUUUAUUGGAAGGGCUAUAUUGUCUGCCAACUUCCUACGCAGUAUGUACGGUCAUUGUCUCUUUACGCCUAAAUGCUCGUUGAAAUCUUUUGUUAACUGUUCUUGAUUCAGUGCUGGGUGUUUAGAAUCAUCUCUUAUUACGCCAGAGAAAAAAAAACGUAUCGUUUUGUUAUGAAUACUUUGCACAAAACCUACGGUUACAUCAUUUCUAAGUUGUCAUUCAUAAAGUGGAUUGCUUCUGAAUUGGCUAAAAAAUGGUAUUUAUUUUUUCUUUUUAACUGUAAAAUCGCAUGUGCCUUGCGAAUAUAACGUCAGCCGUUGUGUUUGCCAAUCCUUCAAGCCCUUCGUUUCCUUCGACACCAGUGUUAAAUUUUGUUAGAGGAAUGCGCCAGUAUACUUCUCUAUUUCCAAUUACGCAGUCAGUAGCGCGCGUAAUUUGCCGCUAAUGCGAACAUUUUAUUUAAAGCGCCUAACACAUGAAUCCUUUUCAUGCUGUAACAAAAUAAAGAAAACAAUUAAAAUGAAAAUAAUUUCCUUCGCUUGACCAGGCUAAGUGGGCGUCAAAAAGCAGAACUGUGAAAACGCGACACGGUUUUUUGAAGUUACAUGGACAUAUUUCUUGAGCAAUUGCGUUUCCUAGGAGGUGCUAUAAAACAUACACAAACACACACGCGAGGCGAAAACGGAAUAUUUCAUUGUAUUUUAUUCGGGAUAAACAGUUCCGCUUCUCAUGCUUGUGUUUAGAAAGUUGAGAGAAGUGUCGAAUCGAAACGCCGGUGAAAUCUACGAAGAAAUGGAAUCUGGAAUCAGUUCGUGGACAUUGAAAUCAAUCAUGAUUUUACGCACGGAGUAUUCGUUUCAAGAGAGGUACUCGUAUUGCCCCAAAUAACUAAGAAGUCUAUAAAUUAGUCUUGUGUUUAACUUGUUAAUUACAUUUUCUUGUGAUCCCAAUAGAUGUGAUAUCGGUUCGAUGACUUGUUACGUAUUGCGUUGUGAAUCUUGACUGAGGCGUUUUCCGAGUGGAUUACAACAUGCGUUAAUUCGAGAUAGGGGGCCAAUACACUUGAUAGUAAAAAAGAAAAGGCCCCCGAGGAAAUAUAUAUAAAUGGCUGGGCAGUAGUGCGAGACGACGGCACACUUGCAAAAAUCUUUAAAAUCCUCUCCUUUGACCACUUUGAAAACAACAAUAAAACAACACGAAAUGUGGAGCAGGGACAUGCAUUUGAGAAAGAAGACUAUUUCUACCAAAUGAAUUGCAGAAAGUGCUUCAAACCGCUGUCAUGUUGACCUCAAUUGGUUUUACGCUCAGCUAUUUCCUGUGUAUUGCUUUUGAAUCUCUCGUCAGUUGAAUUCACAGCCCAACCAAACCUCAGAAUUCUUUAUUAUCACUAUUCCCUCGUUGUAGAUCGAACAAGGCCAAAAAAAUAGCUAUGUAGUCUGAAAAAAAAAACUGUAUUUCUCCUUAUAAACUAGCCGGCUCUUUUUGUUUGUCACGGUAUCCACUGGAAAUGUCCUCAAGAUAGUGAUCUGUCCUGAUAAUAUUCUAGGAUCAUUCACCGAACAACAAAAAAAGUAUUAAAGACACACGCACAUGCACAUACACACAGCGCACUUCUGGAUUUCAAUUUUGUCUUUUUCCUCGCGUAAUAGAUUAAAAUUCUAUUUUUGUUUUUUCAGGCGAAUAGCACGAUACGGUGGAUUUAUCCACGAUGUACUUAUAUUUUAAGAAAACUUCGCAACGAGAUUAUACCUCUGCUAAAGUCAAUAUCGAUCUUAAUCUAUACCUUCGAGCUUUCUUCCAGAAACGACACAAAUGGAAAAAUCUCGUCUAAUUCUAUCAACAUCCUGAUGUAUAGAUGUCGCUGUAUUUUCUUUCUUUUUUUUUUUUUUUUACGCUCAUAUACAUAUUAUAACAUAAAAGCCAACACCUUAAAGUCUACAUUCUUAAAAGUUGUGUUCGAGGGAAGAAAUUUUGAAGCCAUUUUAUCUAACCGUUUCAGUUUUAUAAGCCUCAUGAGAUACUCAGCGCGGGAAAAUGGCGUUUUCUCAUUAGUAACUGAGCCUUAUAUCAAGAGUAGUAGAAUUUAGGCAAACUAAAACAGUCAGUAACGCAGCUCCAGACCUGAAUAUUAACUGUGCUGGGUUUUCCGGCCUCUUGUUCGUAACCGGAGGUAGCCAAUACAUCGAAGACAUAUCAGUGGUAAGAAAUUAGAAAGAUUCUUUUGUUUGAUGCAAUUUUUAGGUAAUUUUACUAAUCAUUGAUAAUCUCUAACUUGGACGCGCUCUUUUUCUGGCAGAGUACGUAUUAACCUUGAGGUGCUGGAAUGCUAGAAUUAAAUUCCAGUGGAAUAUAGACAAUUUUAAGUUCUCCAAGUCUAAUAGCGGCACGCAGUUUGCGGUAUCAGUAUUCGUCACAGUUAGUACGUGCUCGCUGUUUCCCACCACAGUAUAACUAGAUUCGGGGUGCUUUUAAAUAAUUUAAAACCAUUAAAUCCUUGCUUAGUAAGUCAGUCAAGUAUCUGAAUUGUGUCGAACGCGCAGAAGCUAUGGAUGAAGGGCAGUUGAAAAGGAAUAAGCAAUAGUCUCUCAAUAAGCUUGGUGCAAUUGUAAUUUAAAGAAAGCUUAACGUCGAAAUCCAAAAAGAUGGUACUGGUUAGUAAAAGGAGUUCUCGCGUGGAACUUGGAGUAUUCGUAGCAGCGCCGCAACAAUUGCUAAAAGGCCAAAGCUUUAGCAGUCCACUCUAAAAUGGGCAAUGCCUUAUCCUUAAAACUUCAGAUGUCAGUUUAAAUUUCAGUGGUUAAAGAUUGCAAAAUUUUCAGGUCAUAAAUUUCAUUUUUGAAUAGUCAAACGGCUAUGGGGUCAGGUCCAGAGCUUUUCAUUGGGCGUCACCUUUCAAAUCGAUAUAUUUACUACCUGUCAUUAACGCCGCGCCUUUAAUUUUUCUUCCCCUCCAGAAAAAUAUUCGCGAUAAACUUAACCAUUGAACAUGCAAGGCCAAGGUUAAAAAACUAUCACAGCUAUAUAUGUGUUCGAGGAUUUUUGACAAGUAUAAAUAUAAUAUACUCAGCAAACCUAGCAUAAAUGGCACUAGCUAGAAGUGAAACUGGCACUUAAUAUAAACCUUAGCGUCCACCUGGCAUGGGUCAUUGCAGCGUCUCAAUCCCUUGGCCAGAGAGGUCGUUUUCAAAAAAUGUUGUUUACUAACUGAAAAUAUCGAUCGGUAUUUACGUUUCUUGGCAACCAGCUGAGGCUUGUGAAGGCGAUUUUGUAACGGAGCACAGCUUUAGCUUGUAUAAAGUAUUGAUCGUUUGGACUGAGAAGCUUAAGAAACGCUGGUAGGUCGCAGCAAUCCCAUUAUAAUGAUUUAAAUUUGAGGAACUGUAUUUUAGUUAAUUUCUCAGAAUUCCAUUUCGCAUCCUUACAACACAUGAUUUUCGCGUCAUCAGGGUGCGCUCACGAGUACGUGCACAAGCAUAACAUCAAGAGAUUUCCCUCAAGCUCAGCUCGACAGGGAAAUAAAUGCAUGUUUUCUGUUAAACGAGCAUAGUGACCUACAUACGUUUUUAUUGCAUAAUUUUGGUGUUCAAAUUAUUCUCUUUAAGUUGAAAAGAAGAAAAAAGGAUAGCUAAAAGUGUGCACAAAACCGUUACUCGGCAACAACGACUCGAGGAACGUUUUGAGUCGAUGUUGUUCAAAAUUUUUUAUAUUUUUCAUAAAUUAUAUAUAACAUUGUUGCAUAUUCUCAGUGUUUGGUAGGGAACAUUCACAAUUGGAACUCAAUGAACACAUUGAUUCUGAGCAGAAGUUUCAUUUUAUGUCUGCUGAAGAGCCUGCAGGCGAAAACAAAAGUGCCAGUUGAACACUAAACAACAUUAAAUAACAUAUUUAGUUUGCAUAAAGUGUAUAGGGUUGUUUUUCUUCUGUAGUGUUGACUAAAUAUGCCUUCUUUUUAUAUGUGAUUAAAAAAUUCUCUGAAUUAUACCAAAAUGGGACGAACCGUGCUGAUAUUCGAAUGACAGCGUCUACUGCACGAACAUCAUUCCGACAAGUGGUUCCGAAGUCGUGACGAAAGGUUCCGAUUAUCCGAAUAUCGAGACAAGCCUGUCUUCCGGAACUUAACAUAAUGAUAAGAACGAGUUCAAAUGUUAUCGGAACUUAUAUUCUGACAAUGUCUAACCAUUCCGAAGAAAGCAAAACUAAAAACCACCAGGCAAUAUUUUGGCUAUUUCUUUUUAUCACUGGAAAACCGCAACGAGAAAAAUGCAGACACAAUAAAUCACUUUUGCUACCACAAUAGCGUCGACAAGUGUAAAUAUUGAAUAUAAUAAUUGCGUAUCGUCACGAAAUAUAUAUGUUUAUAUUCACGUAUAUAGCGAUUAAGACCAAAUUUAUUUUUUUGUUAUUUUAAGCUUUCGUAGACCAAAAAUAGCGCAUUGGGGCAAAUGAGCUAGCUAUAUAGUUAUAAAAGUUGUCCUAACUGGUUAUUACUCAGCAAUUGUUCAUACCAGGUAAAUAAUUGCUGAGUCAGACUAUCUAUGCAGUAGGGAAUCUUAAAGUUGCCUGUGAGCAGGAUCUCUAGUCGAGGACGGGGCGAAGAGAAAGCUGAAAGAAAACUGGAUAGAACACCCAAUACAGCAGUGCUAAACAUUUCGACACUUAAAUAAAGUGAUGUAAUUUUUUUUAAGUAAAAAAAGGGGAAAUAAGCAGCAGGCCGCAUGAAAGUGCUAUUUGGGAAAACAGAUAUUUAUGUAACGCUAACACACGAGGGUUUCAUUAUUAAAAAGAGACCCAGAAGGUUCAAUCAAUUCCAUAUGCAGUGAACCACCUUAUGUAG